GACAGAGGCCCCAAGCGUUAGGCGGAAUCACUGGGCUUAAAGCGUGUGUAAGCGGAUCGUUAAGUGUCUUGUGAAAUCCCACGGCUCACCCGUGGAACUGCUGGGCAUAUUGGCGAUCUUGGGCCAACUAGGGGCAGUCGGAACAAGCGGUGGAGCGGUGAAAUGCGUAGAUAUCGCUUGGAACGCCGAAGGUGAAAACAGACUGCUGGGCUGCGCCGACGCUGAGACACGAAGCCAGGGGAGCAAACGGG
rnacentral:rRNA from 1 species